rnacentral:lncRNA from 1 species
CUUACUUCAAGGCAAGUAGGCCAUUGGUUUGAGAAGUCCAUCUGGGUCUGUGUUUUAGAAAAGAAAGGUAGGUACACAGAUCCAGGUUUCUGGAGGGAGUAGGGAUGACUAAUGAGAAUGUUUUACUGAGCCUCGGUGAUGCAUGCUUAUCUGGGAAACCCUCAUUCACAAGUAUUCCAGACUCCACCAUGCUUCACGCAUGGCCAUGAGCAAGACUGGCAGAUAACAGCUUUUGCCUUGCAGCCCUAACCCCAAUGCCUGUAGUUUCCAACAUGGCCUCAGCAGAUAUUUGUGAAUAACACCAUGGCUUCAUCAGAGGAUGUGGGGCUGUAGGUCCUCUGGGUGUGAAGCUGUUCUAGUAAACCCAUUUUUAAAAAGAAAGACUUGUUUUUACUUUUUUCUAAAUGUCUCUGACUACUGACUGUUCUAUAGAUUAUUUUUCCUUUUUUGAUAUACAUAUAUGAAUAUAGAUAUAUAUAUAUAUAUUUACUGUUACCAGCAGCGUAUGAUAGAGUUUGAGCAUCAGAAAUCCAUUUGGAAGCUUGCAUUUUCUUUCUGCUUUUUGAUAAAGAAAUCCCAUUCCUUCCUUGUAGUACAAGGAGUUAGCACUUCCUUCUUCAUUCUCACCUAAACAUAUCUUCCACUUUUCUUCUAUUCAAAUAGAUAAUAUAUUUCCUCCAUGUUGGGACUUGUCCCUGUCUGUUGGGCAGCUUGGUCUUAUUCUAGUCAGUGCUGAAUGUUUUGUAUGUCUGAAACUAUGGUGCUGUGCCCCCCCCCCCUGCCCCUAUUGGGUUCUGUGUUCUUACAAAGGUCUUAGGUGGACUCUGUAAACUCCUGCUAGAAGGAGAAUAAUAUAUUUUAAAGGACAAAAAGGUUUUCUAAAAAUGGUGUUUAUCUUCACUAUCCUUUGUUCUUUAUUUUGGUUUAAGAAUCUGCAAUUUAACUUAAACUCAUCACUUGUCCUGUUAAAGGGGCAUUGAGCAAACCUAGGAAGUUUGUAGCCUCUGUUCCCCUUUACUCCAGUCUCUUAAAUAAAUGUCUUCUAGUAACUAGAAGUGAGAUGUACUGUCCAGUUACAGACUGUGUGGGUAUGAGGGCUACCUCAAAAGGCAUCUUAGGAAAAGAAAAGGUUUUCUUACAAAACCCUUUAUCCCAAGUGCUAACCAGGCUUGGCCCUGCUUAGCUUCCAAGGUCAGAGGAGACAUACACGUGCAGGUGGUACGGCUAUAGGUACAACAUCCAAUUUCUGAAAAUACUUUCUCUGGUUUAUACUACCUACUUUUUGGUCUCUUCACUUAAUGUUAAGUAACAUAUCUUGACCAGUUAUGUUGUUUGAAUGUGUUGCUGUGCUUGUAUCUUGAAUUUCCAUCUCAAUGUGAGUGUGAGCUAAGAUUUCAGUAAUGGUUACAAGGUUAAUUAAGUAAAUAGUUAAUUUCACACAUUUUCAUUUUGCCAAACAUGAAGAUUAUCACGUAAGAAUUUUAUUUGGUUAUUGUUAUAAUGAAAAAAAGCACAAUAUUUCUUAACUUUUAGUCUUUGUAAAAGACUUGAGAUACUUGUGGUUUAAAAUUGAGUGUACACCAACCCUUCAGAAAUUUACAAUGUAAGUGAUAGAAUCCCAGAAUACAUUUUACAAUUUUGAUUUUCCUUCCAGUUAACUACUUUUCAUUAACUGUGUUAUCAAUAGUAAGGAGUCAUGAGGAUACUGAAAGGUGACUGUUUUGAGUAAUUUGUGUUCUUUGUACAGUGUUUGUCUGUUGGAGACCUCAGACAUAGGCAGUCUGUACCUGUGAAUAGCUGCCUGUCAUCUUCUGAUGUUUUGAAACUUUUAAAUAUAUAAUUUAAUUG